rnacentral:rRNA from 1 species
AACGAACGCUGGCGGCAGGCUUAACACAUGCAAGUCGAACGCAUCCUUCGGGGUGAGUGGCAGACGGGUGAGUAACGCGUGGGAACGUGCCCUUCAGUUCGGGAUAACCCAGGGAAACUUGGGCUAAUACCGGAUACGUGCGAGAGCAGAAAGAUUUAUCGCUGAAGGAUGGGCCCGCGUCUUAUUAGCUAGUUGGUGGGGUAAUGGCCCACCAAGGCAACGAUGGGUAGCCGGUCUGAGAGGGCGACCGGCCACACUGGGACUGAGACACGGCCCAGACUCCUACGGGAGGCAGCAGUGGGGAAUAUUGGGCAAUGGGCGCAAGCCUGACCCAGCGACGCCGCGUGAGGGAUGAAGGCCUUCGGGUUGUAAACCUCUUUCAGUAGGGAAGAAGCGAAAGUGACGGUACCUAAAGAAGAAGCACCGGCUAACUAUGUGCCAGCCGCCGCCGUAA